CUUGGGCUGUGCCGGAGCUUCCCCUUCCCCCUCCCGCAUGGCUCUGGGACUAGCAGAGCGGAGGGGGAUCGGUGGGAGAGGACAAACGCCGGGGGUGCAGUGGCUCCCAGGUUGGGUUGCAAAGCCCUCAGUAGAAAGCUGGUCCUGCCUUGAUGCUCUUAAUUCGAAACAAAACACCAAGUGUCCACGCGGAAGUUUCCCGGGGACCUGACGGAAGGGAGUGGAUGGGAAAUACUGGGGUCUGAUACCACACAGGCAAACUCUGAGAGCCAAGCAAACCUGCCAACGGCUCCGCUCUCUGCGGAGGGAGGUGACAGCCACCGGGAGAACUCCCGAAGGCCAGAGAGGCCCGUGGGCCGGAGAAGGCUGCGCUUUCUUCCGUCCUAACCUUAAAGAGAGGGGCUGGUGUCUACUGCUCGUCAUGUCCGCUCCGGACCUUUAAAACAGCAAUAACUGAGAUGUCCCCGCUCUAUGUUUCCUGCUGCGAGAGACGAGAGCAGGAGGAGAGGGCUGAAACCAAAGGCACAGCGCCCGCCCUGCCGAGCAGGGCUGAAGAAGAACGGGGGGGUGGGCGCGGGGACCGCGCGGUCCCGCUGCCCCGCAGCGCGAGCGCGGAAUGUGCGGGUGCUCCGAGCGCUGCCUUUGUCUUGCUGUCUGUCUCUUUAUCCGGCGGUUUCCUGACGAGAGAGAUUUUUCUGUGACCAGAAAACACAACGGCGAAUGGUAAAAUGGGAAACAAAUAUCCUGCCUUGAUUUAAUAAAAAGUUAAAUAAUUAGAACCCAAGCUCAAGGAAAAUGAGAACGGAACUGAAUACAGCGAGUAUUUCUGACUCCCGAAGCUUCUUGAAAUGUUGUCUGGGAGCAAUCCCCUUUGUUUCCUCUCUCAGUGCACACGAGGAGAGUAUUAGGAUAUCGUUAGUGCAAAGUAGGAAAAAGGAAGGUGAAUGAUUUAGUAAAAAAAAAAUCUCACAUUUUCCGAUUAAAUAUGUAGCAACACAAGUUUCUCGGUUUUAUAAAGACAUUUAUUCACUCUAUGAAAAUAAUGUACAAUAAAUAAUUUGCCAUUUGCUAAUAAAGGAUUUUAAUAAAUAAUCUACAUCUAAAACUUAAGAAGAGGAAGGAAAAAUCCUCUAUUUUUUAUUUAUUUAUUAAACAUUAUUUUAUUA